AAUGUUUUUGUUUUCAGAUUGUGUUACCUACAACUUUGAUAGGCUGACGAAUGAAGGAGAAGUAAUAUGACAUUGCACGAUGAUUCAUGUCAAUGUGUUCGAACAACCUAAAAGCAAAGGAUGUUUUCUGAUCAGAAUAUGGUGAGAACAAAUUGCAAUUUAAGUAAUGUUUUGAUUUCUGAAAAUAGGAUAAUAAUUAUAAUAAAAGAAAAAGAAAGAAAAACAAAUGAAUGGGAGAAAUAUGGAUAUAACACUUAUUAGGUAUGUCUGUGUUGAGAUGGCACGGUACAAAAAAAAAAUCUGUGAUGGAAGCAGCUUUAUGUUCAAAUUUAAAGGAAUUCUAAUAAUUUGUCCGUAAUUUCAUGAUUUUUAAUAUUGGAUGUGUAUAUAUAUAUGUUAUAUUUGUUAUUCUCGUGGGAUUUUGUCUAUGUGUGUUACAUUUUAGUGUUAUGUCGUUGUUCUUAUAUUUAAUUGCGUUUCCCUCGGUUUUAGUUUGUUAUCCCGAUUUUGUUUUUUGUCCAUGGAUUUAUGAGUUUUGAACAGCGGUAUACUACUGUUGCCUUUAUUUAUAUAAUUUCACUGAAGUGUUGAGAUAUGUCACAAAAAUCUUUUUGUCUCGGGAGAUGAAAUAAUGGUUGCAAUAUUUUUGUCUUGUUUUAUAUAAUAAAUAUGUUGAAUGAUUUUGUAUACUAGUACAAAUGUAUACUAAUUUUAUGUAUGGUUAAAUUUUUAAAUUUAAAUUUCUUUGUCUACAGUUCGAGGGACACUGAUUCCCUAGUGGUUUUCCACGUGGAUUGUAGGCAAAGGGAUUUUUCUUUUUCAAAGUGUGACUAAUGCUGUCUUAAGUGCAAAUAAACAAGUUGUUAUUGGUUAAUAUAUUUUCAGCAGACAUGUGAAUAAUCAAGUGGAAAUACAAUUGUCAAUGUUCCUGAUUAGGAAGUAAAAAGUGUGUUUGAUUCAACAACAUUAAAGAAAGAGACAAGCCAGCAUAGUCUACACUUGGAGGUGAAGUCCCUUUGCUUACAAG
rnacentral:lncRNA from 1 species